rnacentral:tRNA from 1 species
CAAAGAAUAGUUUAUAAAAAUAUUAAUUUUGGAGAUUAAUGAUAGAGGUAAAUCUCUUUCUUUGA